rnacentral:rRNA from 1 species
UACGAAGGGGGCUAGCGUUGUUCGGAAUCACUGGGCGUAAAGGGCGCGUAGGCGGGGAGGUAAGUCGGGUGUGAAAUCCCUCGGCCCAACCGAGGAACUGCGCCCGAGACUGCUUCUCUUGAGUCCCGGAGAGGAAGAUGGAAUUCCCGGUGUAGCGGUGAAAUGUGUAGAGAUCGGGAGGAACACCGGUGGCGAAGGCGGUCUUCUGGACGGUGACUGACGCUGAGGCGCGAAAGCGUGGGGAGCGAACAGG